AGAACGAACGCUGGCGGCAUGCCUAAUACAUGCAAGUCGAACGAACACUUCGGUGUUAGUGGCGCACGGGUGCGUAACGCGUGGGAAUCUGCCCUUGGGUUCGGAAUAACAGUUGGAAACGACUGCUAAUACCGGAUGAUAUCGAAAGAUCAAAGAUUUAUCGCCCAGGGAUGAGCCCGCGUAGGAUUAGCUAGUUGGUGAGGUAAAGGCUCACCAAGGCGACGAUCCUUAGCUGGUCUGAGAGGAUGAUCAGCCACACUGGGACUGAGACACGGCCCAGACUCCUACGGGAGGCAGCAGUAGGGAAUAUUGGACAAUGGGCGCAAGCCUGAUCCAGCAAUGCCGCGUGAGUGAUGAAGGUCCUUAGGGUUGUAAAGCUUACUUUACCCGAGAUGAUAAUGACAGUAU
rnacentral:rRNA from 1 species